GGCCUGCGGAGCUCCCGCCCGUGUCCCCCAGCGGGUCCGGGAGGUCCUGGCACCGCCUCGAUGGCGGCUCCGCCGGACGCGCAGACUGGACCGCAGCCCGCACCCCGAGCUGACGGCGUCAUGAGGCACCUGCCCUACUUCUGCCGCGGCCAGGUGGUGCGGGGCUUCGGUCACAGCUCCAAGCAACUGGGCAUCCCUACAGCUAACUUUCCUAAACAAGUAAUAGAUAAUCUUCCAGCUGAUGUAUCCACUGGCAUUUACCAUGGUUGGGUCAGUGUUGGAAGUGGAGACGUCCAUAAGAUGGUGAUGAGCAUAGGAUGGAACCCAUACUACAAGAAUAUGAAAAAGUCCAUGGAAACUCGUAUCAUGCAUACUUUCAAAGAGGACUUCUAUGGGGAAGUUCUCAAUGUGGCCGUCGUCGGCUACCUCAGACCAGAAAAGAACUUUGAUUCUUUAGAGACACUUAUUUCAGCAAUUCAAGGUGAUAUUGAGGAAGCUAAGAAACGACUAGAUUUACCAGAACAUUUGAAACUCAAAGAAGACAAUUUCUUCCAGGUUCGUAAAAGCAAAAUAAUGAAUGGCCACUGAUGCAAAGGCAUCUUAUUUAUUCAUUCACUGUUUUCUAAUAUUUUACUGCUCAUAACUCUACAGCCUCAUCCUGGUUAUAUUUUAAAAAUCAAACAUUUUCCUACAGCUGUGAAUUAAACAGUACAAUGUAGUUACCAUAUUAUGUUCCAACUGUUCAAUUAAACCCAUCAUGUUACAGUACUAAAACGGUUCAUUUUAAAAAUCAAGAUUCUUUUUUAUGUAAUAUGCUGAUUAAAAUGUACACUUGAAAGGUCUUAAGUGUUUUUUAAUGGAAAUGAAAUAUAUAUAAAUAUGGGUAACAGGCAAGUCACUAGUUUGAGAUGAGAACUAUAAUUCUCAUGGUAAAAUUUUAGCAUGCAUGUACUGUGUAGCAUGCUCUGCUAAUCAGAAGGCUUAUAAAAGUAACUAUAUUAAGCAGAGGUUUGACAGUUUAUUACAAACCUAAGGGGAAAAAUCCAGACUUCGUAUUUUUGAUAUUUUGUGCAUUUAUAUAUUAUUAUAGACAUAAAGACUUGUGAAAUUUCAUUUCAAUUAGUCAUUUCCUUUAAGGGCUCAAAUCAUUGUACUGGGUUCCAUUUUUGUUACAGCUGCCUCAGUUCUAAUUGGUCUAGACUCUCUCCCUAUUAGUUUUUUUGUUUUUCUUUUAAAACAGUAAAAUGAGUGUUUUUCGAAUCUCUAGGUCUCAUUUUUGUGUUGUAUAACACUUCCCUCUUUAAGCGUAGAUAUUCUUCAACAUUUUUCUUAACCUUUGUUUUCUGUAAACAAUUGUGUGUCAGUUUUUCCAUUUAGAAUAUCCAACUCUGCAUUUACAAAAUGUAGAGUUUCAUCUGCGUCUGUAUCUGCCAUCCCAUCCCUUCACUAUAUGAAGAGUGAUUAAGUGCAUAUCUUUUGCAUUUUAGAAAAAACACCCAAAACUUCAUCUGUAGGUUUCCCCAAAGUUUAAA